CCGCCGAAGCUCCUCUCUCCAUCGUCAUCGACGUUGGAAUUUAACUCCUAACAACAUAGUGCUGCCCAACCGCGCGUAAGGGUAGAAGUGAGACGGAGGGGAAGGUGUACCGAAAGAACCAAAGAAGAUGAAUUGUUAUUUUGUUAUAUUUUUUCGCCACCCGCCGAUGGGGCAAAGCUUGUAUCUUCAGCAGCCACGGCAACCAAUGAACAUUCCCACUGGACGGCCAGCAGACGGCGGUCUCACACCAUGCUGGGUCGUCACACAUUGAGCAACAACAUCAACAACAUCAUCAUUACCACGUCGUCGUCGUCGUUACAUCACCACGACCACCACCAUCGGAGUAGCGUCGCUGCUUCCUGGCACGUUGGAAUCGUUUAGAAUCAACGUGUGCCUGUCAUUAUUCUUACUCUCACGAGGGUUCAUUAAUGAAUAACUAUCGCCGUCAUCAUCAUCAUCAUCAUAAUUUUCGCAAGGGAAUAUGACUUCAGAAGAACGUAAAGGGCUGUAGAAUUGCGAGGAGACGGUGGAGUGACUUUGGAGACGAAGACAUUGCCCGGAAAUUGAAUGGAUCCUUGAAGCUUUCUGUGGAUUUAUAUUCUUCCUACAGUCAUCGGCUGACCGACAGCAGACAGACCUCGACAUUAACAACAGCAGCAGCACAAUCUGGUUUUAGCUGGCUUCUUCUGCUGCUGCUGUUCGUACAGCCACAGAUGCUGUUCUUGGGUGCAUGGUUGGCCACAGAGGGAAAUUAUCAGGAAGAGAGAAGCAACAAACAAGGGUAUAUAAGUCUAGAAUUGUCAUCCUGCCCCCCCCUUCUCUCUCUCUCACUGCCCCUGCUGCUGCCGGUAUGGCGUGUUGAGCGAGGCCGUCAUCCAGCAGUGGAUCGACCCACGUGUGUAGACUCUCACAGUGUGAAGACGACACGGUGCAGCUUCUACAAGGCUGCACAAGUGUAACGGAGCAUCACAUACAGACGGAGAGGAUAGAGGUGUGAAGCUUCAUAGGCUGUUGCGAGCGUGGUACUACAGAGGGGGGGGGGGGGCAUCGUCGUUUACAGACGCUGGAGAUGUGCAGGCUCCACGGGUGGUGGUAACAUCAGGCCGACAGUAACAGAGUUGAUACUGUAGACUGUCUCUAGUCUACAUUGACAACACCACGGGUGGUGGUAACAUCAGGCCGACAGUAACAGAGUUGAUACUAUAGACUGUCUCUAGUCUACAUUGACAACACCACGGGUGGUGGUAACAUCAGGCCGACAGUGAUAGAGUUGAUACUGUAGACUGUCUCUAGUCUACAUUGACAACACCACGGGUGGUGGUAACAUCAGGCCGACAGUGAUAGAGUGGAUACUGUAGACUGUCUCUAGUCUACAUUGACAACACCACGGGUGGUGGUAACAUCAGGCCGACAGUGAUAGAGUUGAUACUGUAGACUGUCUCUAGUCUACAUUGACAACACCACGGGUGGUGGUAACAUCAGGCCGACAGUGAUAGAGUUGAUACUGUAGACUGUCUCUAGUCUGCAUUGACAACACCACGGGUGGUGG